rnacentral:sRNA from 6 species
AAAAGAACUUUGGAGAGAGAGUCAAACAGUACGUGAAACCGUCAGGAGGGAAACGAACGAGGUCGGUGCAGUGAUCACGCAGGUUCAAGCCCUGCCGAAGGCGCCGACGCGAUGACAUAGCUUGUCCCGUGUCGUACGCCGGAGGCAGUGCCGUACUCCUCGUGAGCACGGACCAGCAGCGGUUGAGCCGGAGCCACAAGACCGCAGGGAAGGUGAGUCGAUGAGCACCUGUCGCACAUUGACGGCAUAUAGCCCUGCGGCACGGCGCUCCGGUCCGACCGAGGAAGGAGGGCAGCCCUUGCCCGUCGUGGUACACGCCGUAUGGCGGGGCCUCCCGACACAAGUGAACCAUGCGGUGUGGACUGCAUGCAGUGCACAUCGUGGUGGGGAUCUUGUGGCGGAGAGUGCCACCUGUGUGCCAGUGCUGCUGGUAUUCAGACAGCCUCGUUCGACCCGUCUUG